UACGGAGGAUGCGAGCGUUAUCCGGAUUUAUUGGGUUUAAAGGGUGCGCAGGCGGCAUGUCAAGUCAGCGGUAAAAUGUCGGGGCUCAACCCCGGCCGGCCGUUGAAACUGUCUUUCUAGAGUGAGCGAGAAGUAUGCGGAAUGCGUGGUGUAGCGGUGAAAUGCAUAGAUAUCGCGCAGAACCCCGAUUGCGAAGGCAGCCUGCCGGCUCCACACUGACGCUGAGGCACGAAAGCGUGGGUAUCGAA
rnacentral:rRNA from 1 species